rnacentral:tRNA from 1 species
GAGGGUAUAGCUCAGGGGCAGGGUGUUUGCCUUGUAAGCAUGAGGUCCUGAGUUCAAUCCUCAGUACCUCCA